rnacentral:lncRNA from 1 species
GUUUAUUGUUGCAGCAAUUCUUAUACAGACAUUAGCGUUCAGUUAAAGUAAGCGCUAAUGUUACAGAACAGGGGUGUGGGUUCAUACCCCAAGUGCUGUGCUAAGUAUGUACAAGAGAUUUCAUUCCCACACAGUCAUCACACACUGCCUUAGAUGGAGGGAAGGUAAAAUCAGGGUUUGUGUACUCAAGUGGACCCUAAUCAGGGAGGGAGCAGACAGAGGUGAAACUCAAACUAACAGGUAGCCUGGUGAAGGUGAGGGUUAAAACAUCAGCGAGAGGUGGCCCUUGGUUGUAAACAUUGGUGACAGCUACACCAGUGGGUGGAGAGACCUGAGCAGGGCUCCGUGGGUGGGUUUUCAUCAGUGUGCCAAGGGAACAUAGGUGUGGGUGGGGCUGCAGGAGGAGGGAGGGGGAGCUAUGGGGGAGGUAGUAGGUUACUCUGGACUCCCUGAAGGCCAAUGUUGAUGGGCGAAGUUCAGAAAGCAAACCCGUGUGCAGGGAGGUGGCAGCCUGCCUUGUGCUCUACUCCCCUCCACCCCCUGGAGCCUGCUGUGGGGAAGGGAAGGGAUCGCUCAGGAAGUGGGCUACUGCCAUGGAUCUGUGAGCCUUCCCUUCUCUCAGGAACUCAAGGCUGAUGGUGGCUCCCUGAAAAGCUCCCCAGGAGGAAGCAGAGGCAGAAUGGGUUCUAGUGCAACCUCAUUGGACUGGGGGAGGGGGGAGGCGGGGAGUGUGUGUGUGGAUCUGGGAGCCUGCCCCAAAGCCAAGUCACCAGCGCGUUCCAGCUGAGUGGGCAGAGUGGCUUUGUGCCUUGCAGUUCGAGGAAGGCGGCUCUGUGGGUAGUCGGCCCCAUUAGUGAGAGCGAUGAGAUAUUUACAUAUGUAACUGUGUAUAUGAAGAUGCCAGACAAGACCUGACCCCAAGUUUAACCAUUCAGUCUGAUGCUAGCAGAGGAAGAACACGCUUCAGCAGGGGGCCUGGACCAGGGGACAGCUUUUCCCUCUGGGAGGGAGGACCCUCCCUUAACACAAAAGACUAAGUAAUCCUUACAAUGAUGCUAAACUAUUAGUUCCCUAGGAGAGCUUUGCAAGAGAAGCUUUGCUUUUGAGCCCCUCUUAAAGCUUCCAGGCUUCCUGUGCAAGGAGAAUGGAAAGCAUUCUCUUUCCUCUUUCCCUGGGGUGAAGAGACUUCAUUGUGAUGACUGGGCGUGAUGACUGGUGGGGUCUGCCCCUGACGGGUCCCAGGUUAGCCUCCGAGGUCCUGCUUCUGCCUUCCUGUCCAGACGGACAUAAGCCUGUCAAGGGACUUUACCAAGGUUCCCAAUGCCAGAGAUGGCAGCAAUAAUGUCCCUCUUUGUCCUACCCAUCAUCUCUGGCAGAGGAGAGAUGGACCACAGCCUUCAGUGUGUGGUGAUGUUAGAUACCUGACAGAUCACUUAUUUCAGAUAUAAAGAAAACCCAAGGCUUGUCCCCUGGUCUCCACAUUUGCUGGGGUCUGACCUUGGGCCUGGCCAUGCAGGAGCAUUCUGUUAAGACACCCUUAAAAUCAAGUCCCGAUGGCCCGGCUUCUGUGGUCCUAACUCCACAUAGCUCUCGCAGCAGCAGGCCCGGUCCUUCUCAGGCAGCUAUCUGGACAGCCGGAGGCCUCAUAUCACUGAGGCUUUUUGUGCUAGAGUCAAACUGAGGGCUCACGGCAGAUCCCAGCAAGCACCGGGCUUUCCCAAAUCUCUCCAGACAUUUCAUGAAGUCAGAGAACCCAGGGGUUGGCUGUUUCCCACCCUGGCUGAAGCCCCUUAUUCCAUCUCUUGUUCUAUUCACAUCUCUCCCUCCCCCAGACCCCUCUCUUCCCUCCAUAAAUCCAUCCUUCCCAACACUGCUCACUGAACUCCCAUUUCCAAAGAUACAAUAUAAAUAUCCCAGAUGCAGAGAACAGGGAUUAUAUUCAUACUACAAAAUAUAUUAGUUUUUUUUCCCCCCUGUCUCUACUGAGGUCAUCAAUGAAACAAAACAAAAAACAAAAACAAGAACAAAAACAAAAACAAAAACAAAAACUAGCCACAUCCCACAUGGAAACAAACUGCUCUUUGGACCAAGAAUAAGUGGAAGCUGGCUCAGAAUGAUAUUAUUAAAACACAUGGACUAGACUGAGACGUGAUCCACAACGUGAGGCAACUGAUGGAGGCACCAAGCCCUCCAUACUAGCUGCAAACUCCCAGAUCUACAAGGCAGUAGGGCGCGUUUCGGGAGCACAGCUGGGGAUUCUAGGCCCACCACCAAGUGUUAAGUCUGCCCGAUUUAGUGGCUUAUCUGUUCUAGCCUUUAUAAUAUCACAUCCUCACUAGUAGCUGUGAAUGGGCCCAGGCUGGCUUAGCCUUGGGGCAGGGAAGCAGGACACUAGGGCACUCACAUCACAGUUUGACCCUCAAGAACCUCCAGUGUGUACAUGGGGUGGGGGGAGUCUUAGAGGGAACUCUGAGCCAACUGUGAUAGAGAAGGCCAGGACAGUGUCUUUUUUAGGACAAGGCUGGCUGCUUUCUGCCUAUGUCAACCUGCUAGGGGAAGGGAUCUUCCAGAGAGGAGCUGGGGGUUCUCCACAGGGUCUGUGGUGCUAGGUUUUUAGCCUGCUUCAAAGCAGGUAGAGGGCAAAUGUGACAGUGUGCAGGGCUCAUGUGUGUGUGUGUGUGUGUGGUACAUGUAAGAGCUUGUGCAGUAAGUACAUUAGGAGGGUAAUACCUGCCUGUGGCUAUUCUCCAAUUUGUAACCUUGGACAAUCUAGGGACCUCGGAGGCCCUGUGAUUUGCCAGGAUCUCUGUGGUGUCACAGCAGCCCUAUCCAGGGUGUCACUUCCUCAUUUCUCAACAGUUAGGCCUGCAUUAGCACACACAUACAUUGCAACUAAAAGAAACCAUGGGAGAGAUUUAAAAGUGGCUCAGAAAUUCUGGGCAGAAAUAAUGUACAGGGCCCCCAAUGACAUAGCAGGCAGCGAACAUCCUUAAAGAUGUGGGCUUUAAGGAUGUUCAACGCUGUCAUCUGUUGCCAACUCCUUUCCUAUCAAGUGAGGUGAGGAGGGCAGAGAGAUCAGCCACUGAGUUUUAAGCACUGCUCAGUCACCUCCACGCUGCCUCUGGGAACUUCCUCAGGGAAGUAUGUGUCUCCCGGGGAGGGAUGGUACCUCCGUGGGCAUCCCCCAAAGGCCCUCCACCAUGAUCCCAGGGAGAUAUUAGCUGCUCUCCACCCUCAAGAGGGCACACACAAAACUUCCCUGGUAUUAAGGAAGGAACAGAAAAGAAAAAAAAGAAAGAAAGAAAGAAAGAAAGAAAAAAACCAAACAAACUGGAGAGAGACAGAGAGCAAAGAGGUCCUUGCUGAUUCUUCUCUUCCCGUGUAAGACCAAAUGUUGGGCGCCAGAGGGGAAUGUCUCAGUGGACACACGGGUGCAGCACAAAAAACACAACCACGGUGAGGAGAGUCCUCCAUGCAUGCCGCUACGCCAUGCCACGCCACGCCACACCACGCCACAUCACGGAGAUUCUGCUCAGAUGUAAACGGGCUGCUCCUGGGCCGUCAGCAGUCGGUACAUGGCUGCUGGCAUUGUCUUCAUGUGGA